AUGGCCGAGGCCGCUUUCGACCACUUCUCCUCGCUCUUCGGUUCCUCCCCGCCACGCGAAUUCACCCUUGAUCUUGAUCAGUUUGAUGACAGAUCUUUUAACCUCACUGACCUCGAGCUUCCUUUUUCCGAGGAGCAGAUCCUACGAGCUGCUCGCGCGCUUCCCCGUGGCAAGGCUCCGGGACCUGACGGCUUCACAUCUGAAUUUCUUGUGGCAUGUUGGGACAUCGUCAAGGCCGACAUUUGCGCAGUUUUUGACAAGUUCCACUCCAUGAACGGGCGUAGCAUGCAGCGCCUCUACGAAGCUCUAAUCACCCUCCUGCCCAAAAGGAAAGAAGCCUCCGCCCUCUCGGAUUAUCGCCCCAUCAGCCUGCUCCACCUUGUGGCCAAGCUCAUCACAAAGGUCCUCUCCCUCCGUCUCUCCCCACGACUGGGACAGCUCGUGUCCGCGAACCAGAGCGCUUUCAUUGCAGGCGGCUGCAUGCACGGCAACUUCAUGUUGGUCCAACAGACCGCCCGCUGA
rnacentral:rRNA from 1 species